UACGAAGGGGGCUAGCGUUGCUCGGAAUCACUGGGCGUAAAGCGCACGUAGGCGGAUUGUUAAGUCAGGGGUGAAAUGCCAAGGCUCAACCUUGGAACUGCCUUUGAUACUGGAGAUCUUGAGUCCGGGAGAGGUGAGUGGAAUUGCGAGUGUAGAGGUGAAAUUCGUAGAUAUUCGCAAGAACACCAGUGGCGAAGGCGGCUCACUGGCCCGGAACUGACGCUGAGACGCGAAAGCGUGGGGAGCAAACAGG
rnacentral:rRNA from 1 species